AAAGGCUUGCUCGCAGAAGAAUCCUGUUGCCGCGCGUCGUUCUUGCUGGCGGGACAUUGGGCGCGCGACAAAGUCCUUUCCUGCAUGAGAGCCAUGAUGUUUACUGCAAUGGAAUUUUCAAUGUGACAUGAGAGAUGCUCACAGCUGAUCAGAGCCAAAGAGCACAUAACUUUAUUUUCAACAUAGUAAGAACUGAAUCUCAUCUGCUGUGUUGGAUUCCAACAUGCUGCUGAGAACCUGGAAUCCUUGGAGAGUCACUAACAAUCAGUCUAUCUGGAUAGAAAGAAAGAAAAAAUAAUAAUCUGGUUCUCAUUGCGAAGAAUUGUGUCAGCAGUGCAAGAGAGGCAGUCGCCAACAAGGAGAGGAAGGAGGGAGAUAUUCUAUCAAGAGUGAGAAAACAGUAACCAGACAUCCUAAGCAUUCUGUUCAGCAAUAGGAACAUAUUUGAAAACAGUGUGAAAAUAAACGUGCUAUUGCAUCUACGUGAAGGUCAAGAGAACGACUUGGAGAAGUUGCUUGUACUUUCCUUCAACCCAGGGUCCCGGAUAGAAAGAAGUAAGAAAAAUUACCAUGAGUAGAAAGAGAAGAGGUGGUCAUGAGGCAGAAUGUCCAGUAGGAGCCUUGAGGAUCACGUUUCCAAUGACUUGGCCAUGAGGACAUACAUGGAGCAGAACAAUGUCAGGGACAUGUCCAAUCACAGUUGGACGGGAGUGUGGUAAGUGAUUCCAGGCUGCUACAGUGGGCAAGGCAUGCGUACUACAUGGUUCCAAAAAGACAACAGAGGGCAUAAAGAAGACAGGUCUGGGACACAAAACUGCAAGACUCAUAAAUGUUCUAGAACCUCCAGAAACUGUACUGCCUGCUGGGAAACAAAUGUUCAAACACAGGCAGGUGGCUCAGCCACUAAAAACAUUUCCCUGCUCUUCCAGAGAACCCUGAGUUUGGUUUCCAGAAUGAAAAUGGCUAUUCACAACUUUCCCUAACUCCAUCUAGUGGACCUGACACCUAUUUCUGGCCUCCACGGGCACUGCAUGCACACUAUAUGUAAAAAUAAAAGGAAAAUUUGAAAACUUUUAAAAGUCU
rnacentral:sRNA from 1 species